rnacentral:ncRNA from 1 species
CCAAGAGUUCACAUCGACGGGGAGGUUUGGCACCUCGAUGUCGACUCAUCGCAUCCUGGGGCUGGAGUAGGUCCCAAGGGUUGGGCUGUUCGCCCAUUAAAGCGGUACGAGAGUUGGGUUCAGAACGUCGUGAGACAGUUCGGUCCCUAUCUGUUGUGGGCGCAGGAUAUUUGAGAGGAUCUGUCCCUAGUACGAGAGGACCGGGAUGGACGGACCUCUAAUGUGCCAGUUGUCGCGCCAGCGGCAGUGCUGGGUAGUUAUGUCCGGAUGGGAUAACCGCUGAAGGCAUCUAAGCGGGAAACCCACCUCAAGAUGAGAUAUCCCUCUGCGAAAGCAGACUAAAGGCCCCUGGUAGACUACCAGGUUGAUAGGCUGAAUGUGUAAGCACAGUAAUGUGUUUAGCUAAUCAGUACUAAUAGGCCGUGAGGCUUGACCAU